CGAUUCUACAUGGGAAGGCAAAAUUUCUUCCUGUGGCCGAGUACGUGGCAGAUGUUGAGUAUACUAAUCAUCCAGCAAGAGCAUUGACGAAAGUAAUCAUCAUGUGGAAAGUUCCUCAGACCUCGGUGAGUAACUUCUUCUGCGUAUGAAAUUAAUAACAUUGCAUAUAUUAGACCGUUUUUAAAGAGGUUUUUUUAUACUACGGACUACGCCUUUUUACCCAAUGGAGCUAUAUGGAUGGUGGCGGUUGAAAGGGUGUGCUUACUCCUCCUAGAUACCCGAUCCCACUUUUGGUGGGAAACACGAGCUGAUUCGAACCAGAUAUGACAGAAUCUGAGCGUGCAGUGGGCGAUUCAGCGCUAUCAAAUGAGGAUGAAACACAUGACAUAGAAAAACGGAAGGGUCGACGUAGGCGAAGAGGGGGCCGCAGGAGGCCACGGCGCAGGAGAUUUCGUAUCAGCAGUGUUUUUAAUAGCUUAGAAACUGGUGUCACCAUGAUUCCAAGCAUAUAGAUGGGUGCAAAUACGAAACUAAGACACGUGGUCAGUUGCUGAAGAAAUUCUGGUGAAAACAUGCAGGGUUUAGCAAAAGGUCUGUAGCUGUGAGGGAAGGUGGA